ensembl:lncRNA
UGUUUGAGGUCCUUAUGUUUCUACAGUCUUCUAGAGAUAAAAUACUCUCUGGAGCAUAGGAAUACAGCAAAUAGUUUUUCCUCCACUAUUGUACAUUGGCUUUCACUUUUUUCACUACGAUAUGCAGAUAUGAAAUGCAGCUAAUGCUUGCUCUGAAAGGGACGGCUCAAUAAUAUCUGAGAAAUUUACUGGCUCCAGAUGUUCUUUGCAACAACAUUAUUUCUCCUGCCUAGGGGAAAAAAAAAACAAGGAAUGAUCCAGAGGAACCGUUGUUCUUCAGAUUUUCAGUUGUUCAAUAUGAUAUGUAAUAUGAAUGGCCCCUUCUAAGGGCUCACUAAAAUAAGGAAUAGCCUUGCACAGAAGAGUUGCUGAUUAUUAUUUGAAUGAAAGCCAAGUCACAGAGGAAAAGAAAUCUAGUUAGAUAAAAUAAUUUAGAGAUUAGUACUUUUCUACAUGUACGCUCUGCUUUAAGGAUAGAAUACAUUUUGAGAAUCAUGUUUCUAGCAGAAGCCUAUGACUUUAUCAGAAUGGUUCCAAUUCUGCUCAUGUCCAGAUCUUUCUACAACACUGCUGUCUGGAAACUAUAUUUGUUUUGUACAGCAAGCUAGCUUAAAAAGGCCUUUUUCAUUCCCAAGGAUCAAUAUGAGCUACUUGGUUCUUUGUAGAAUUUUUUAUGAAGUAUUCCUAACCAAGGGCUUCAAAGUACCUCUAAUUUAAACUGCUGACUUGCAACUGCGCUUGUUUUUACUCGGGAAUUUUUCCUUUUUCUAACACUAUUUUUGUAGCAAAGUAAAUCUGUUCUUUCUGGAAAUAGCUGUUUAAACUUGCAGUUCUGUGCAGUUCUUCUCUUUUGCUACACUUAAGUUAAAUCUUUAAUGUUUAUUUUGGAAAUGAGUACACAGACCUAAGCACUAUUUUUGAUGGUUAUUGAUAUCAACUUUCUUCAAACCUGAAUCAUUAAAGCCACUCCUACUUACGUUCCUUUUCCCCCUAUUAUUGUUUCUAUAAUGCUUUUUUCUUGCCAUAUGAGAAAAAUAAACAGGCAACAGAACCUCUAUGUUCUGCUGUUCAUAUGCUG